rfam:Hordeum vulgare subsp. vulgare, WGS project CAJW01000000 data, contig: morex_contig_1568073
GUUGUACUCCUUCCGUCUCAAAAAAUUUGUCUUACGCUUGUUUAGAAAUAAAUGUAUCUAAAUAGUAACACAUGAUUAGAUACAUUCAUAUCCAGACAGAAAAAGACAAAUUUUUUGAGACAGAGAAAGUACUAA